AGAAGGUAGCAUAGUCAGUAGUCUUUUAAUUGAAGGCUUGAAUGAACGGUUGGACGAGGGACGAACUGUCUCCUUUGUGUGAUUUGAAUUUAACUUUUGAGUGAAAAGGCUCAAAUUGCUUAGUGGGACGAUAAGACCCUAUAAAACUUGAUAUAAGUUGAGCUUGAUUUGUGAUUUAAGUGAAAAGCAGUUUUGUUUGACUUAUAUUUUGCUGGGGCGGCAUAGAUAUAAAAUGUAACUGUCUAUUAAAUUUAAUAGUGCUAAUUAGUUUUUGAUCCUUCUUUGAGGAUUAAAAGAAUAAGUUACUUUAGGGAUAACAGCGUGAUUUUCUUUGAGAGUUCUUAUCGACAAGAGUAGUUGCGACCUCNAUGUU
rnacentral:rRNA from 1 species